UGAAAUAGUUUGGAACUGUAACAUAGAAGGCACAGAGCAGCUGUCAGGUUAUGAAAUGAAAGUAAUUCUACAAAAAGAUCUAAUCCUGCAGCUCCUGCAUGCGAUAGAGCGAAGCGAACCCCCAAGCUGCACCUCACGGAAGGAAUCCAGUUGGCACAAGACUGAGCACGAAGCCCUAAGAACCUCACGCCGAACAACUGAUAGGCUUGCUGGAUCUAUGCGCCAAACAGCUGACAAGCGCGACUUUUGAAAAUGGUCUUGAGACUGACUGCUUUAUGCCUUUAAGAGCUUCUUAAGCACACUAUGUCCACAUGCCUCACUGCAACCGUUGUUUAACUGUUAUGUAAAUUUAUGCG